AUGCUCUGUAAGGUGACCUUGGGUGUCUUGAAAGGCGCCUCUAAAUUAAAUGAAGACAUUGUGUAGUGAAACUGGAAGAAAGAACUUGUUAAAGUACUUAAAGCGGACUCUUAUCGGCCUGAACUGGUCGCUGGUGAGGACCCCCAGAAGGGCAAAAACAAUCUGCUCGCCCAUCGGUAAUUUUCCAUCAACUUGGUCAAAGGCGUGGCCUACAGAGGGGGCCAAACACCAUUUAAAUCAGCUCGUGGUUCCUGUCCUGUAUGUCGCCUGCACUCUAGGAUUGUCAUCUUACUCUGCCAAAAAUAAACAACAGGCCUGUCACCAUCCCCCGUAACACCUCCCACCGGCUCCAGCCGCCCCGACACAGCAGGGGCCUGGACAUCUCACAGCUGCCGACGACAGUGGCCCUGAAUUCCCCUACCACAAUGACGACCCCCAUCAACGUGGAGAGGGACGUUAACAGACUCUUCAAGAGACAGAACCCCCACAGGGCAGCCAGUUCAGACUCGUCUCUCCAACCGCCCGAAGCACUUUGCCCAUUAGCUGUCGCAGACGUCUUCAUCAUCUCACUGGAGACAUGCAAGGAACCAGCAUACUGCAAAAAACACCAUCCCCCAUAAUGCCAAGCACCACAGGAUAUAACGUCUACAGGCACGUCUCCCUGACCUGUGGAACCUACACCUGGGGCCUUUUUGUGGAUUCUAGCUUCACCACCAUCAAUCCGGCUCUGCUAUGGGAUAAGCUCUGAGCGUGCCCGACUCCACCUGCAGAUGGACCAUUGACUUCCUGUAUGACC
ensembl:lncRNA